rnacentral:rRNA from 1 species
AGAGUUUGAUCCUGGCUCAGGAUGAACGCUGGCGGCGUGCUUAACACAUGCAAGUCGAACGAACGACUAUUAACAGAACCUUUCGGGGCGAAGAAUAUAGAAGUUAGUGGCGGACGGGUGCGUAACGCGUGGGUAAUCUGCCUUUGUCAAAGGAAUAACUAUUCGAAAGAAUAGCUAAAACCGUAUAACAUAUUAAUAGGGCAUCCUAAUAAUAUCAAAACGAUAGUGGACAAAGAUGAGCCCGCGUCUGAUUAGCUAGUUGGUGAGAUAAAAGCCCACCAAGGCAACGAUCAGUAGCCGACCUGAGAGGGUGAACGGCCACAUUGGAACUGAGACACGGUCCAAACUCCUACGGGAGGCAGCAGUGGGGAAUAUUGCACAAUGGGGGGAACCCUGAUGCAGCAACGCCGCGUGAGUGAAGAAGGCAUUCGUGUCGUAAAACUCUGUAGUAGGGGAAGAAAGAAAUGACAGUACCCUAAAAGAAAGCCCCGGCUAACUACGUGCCAGCAGCCGCGGUAAUACGUAGGGGGCAAGCGUUAUCCGGAAUAACUGGGCGUAAAGGGUGCGCAGGUGGUUUAACAAGUUAGUGGUGAAAGGCAUAGGCUCAACCAAUGUAAGCCAUUAAAACUGUUUAACUUGAGUGCAGGAGAGGAAAGUGGAAUUCCUAGUGUAGCGGUGAAAUGCGUAGAUAUUAGGAGGAAUACCAGUGGCGAAGGCGACUUUCUGGACUGCAACUGACACUGAGGCACGAAAGCGUGGGGAGCAAACAGGAUUAGAUACCCUGGUAGUCCACGCCGU